AUUGAACGCUGGCGGCAUGCCUUACACAUGCAAGUCGAACGGCAGCGCGGACUUCGGUCUGGCGGCGAGUGGCGAACGGGUGAGUAAUGCAUCGGGAACGUCCUUUCAGUGGGGGAGUAACGUAGCGAAAGUUACGCUAAUACCGCAUAUUCUGUGAGCAGGAAAGCAGGGGAGUCGCAAGACCUUGCGCUGAUGGAGCGGCCGAUGUCAGAUUAGCUAGUUGGUGGGGUAAAGGGACUCACCAAGGCGACGAUCUGUAGCGGGUCUUAGAGGAUGAUCCGCCACACUGGAACUGAGACACGGUCCAGACUCCUACGGGAGGCAG
rnacentral:rRNA from 1 species